rnacentral:rRNA from 1 species
UACGAAGGGGGCUAGCGUUGCACGGAAUUACUGGGCGUAAGCGCACGUAGGCGGGUCGCUAAGUCGGGGGUGAAAUCCUGGAGCUCAACUCCAGAACUGCCUUCGAAACUGACGAUCUUGAGUUCGGGAGAGGUGAGUGGAACUGCGAGUGUAGAGGUGAAAUUCGUAGAUAUUCGCAAGAACACCAGUGGCGAAGGCGCUCACUGGCCCGACACUGACACUGA